rnacentral:lncRNA from 1 species
UGCUGUUACCGAAAAAUACCAGCCCACUUCCUGUGGCUUUGAUCUGCAGCCUUAAUUCUAAACUGCCCUGCCUCAGCCAACAGCUAUCUGCAGCUCAUUUCCUGCUUUCUGGCCAUCUUAUCUCUGUCUUCAAGCAUUCCUCAGCUUUCUCUUUCCAGAACAGGAUUAUGAACCGACACCAUACAGAGGUAUUUGUAAGAAAGAAGGUGGAUGCCGGAAUCCUUUCUUCAAACAGAAGCUUACCAGUAAGUGCAGACUAAUACAACAGAGAGAUUGGAACUACAGCAAAGGUAUGAACAGGUGUCACGGGGACACAGAAGAAAGAGCAGUUACUCUUCCGGAAGGUUGGAGAAGAUUUUGUGAAGGUGGGGAUGUUUGAUUUGAACCUUGAAGAACAAGCAGAGACCCAAGAAGUACAGAAGAGGGGAGGUGGAAAUAGCAUGAACGAGGUGGGGCAUGCAAAUUCACUUUCAAUUGAUACAAUCUUUCACGUCAGAGCUGCUUCUUGUAACACAGAAGUUUUCAGAUUCUAUGAAAAGGUAUUGAAUGAAUUGAAGGCUCUGUUAAGGGGGCAACUAUCUCCCCUCCCCAUUCUCCUAUCAGCCCAUAAAACAGGAACUGACAACCUCUUGGAAGAAUUGGGAAGGAACUUUUCGAUUUUCUCUGUACAAUCUUCACUGGUUCCUCUCUGUGAGAGGAGGAGGGACCUCUUGGAUUGGUGUCGUUGGGAAAAGGGUAUCAAGUGUGCAUGGCUCAGCCUGUUCCUGGCUCUCUCUCUGGGACUGACCUGACUGCAAGCAGCAUGUUCUCUGUCUGCUCCUGCCUCCUCCAGGCAAUGAGCACCAGGGCGGGUCCAGCCCUUGCUUGGGAGGACUUCAAUAGUCCAGCUGCUCUGCCGCGAGUGGGUGAGUGAGUUCAAGUCAGAGGAGAAGACACAGAAAGCUCAUUUGGGCCUUGGGUCUUAGCCACAUCCUCCAGUCCAUCUGGACUAGCAAUAAAGCUGACAUUUUAAUCCC